rnacentral:rRNA from 1 species
GACGAACGCUGGCGGCGUGCUUAACACAUGCAAGUCGAACGGAAAGGCCCUGCUUUUGUGGGGUGCUCGAGUGGCGAACGGGUGAGUAACACGUGAAUAACCUGCCCUUGACUUUGGGAUAACUUCAGGAAACUGGGGCUAAUACCGGAUAGGAGCUCCUGCUGCAUGGUGGGGGUUGGAAAGUUUCGGCGGUUGGGGAUGGACUCGCGGCUUAUCAGCUUGUUGGUGGGGUAGUGGCUUACCAAGGCUUUGACGGGUAGCCGGCCUGAGAGGGUGACCGGCCACAUUGGGACUGAGAUACGGCCCAGACUCCUACGGGAGGCAGCAGUGGGGAAUAUUGCACAAUGGGCGGAAGCCUGAUGCAGCAACGCCGCGUGCGGGAUGACGGCCUUCGGGUUGUAAACCGCUUUCGCCUGUGACGAAACGUGAGUGACGGUAAUGGGUAAAGAAGCACCGGCUAACUACGUG